CACCCCAGGCUAAGAAAGAAGAAAAGACAACAAAACCAGCUGCUCCAGAUAAGACUCAGACACACAAACAAGAUACCAUGAAACUGGAAAAGUCUGUUUCUCAAUCUAAACCAGUCUCCAUAGCCAAGCCCAAAUCAGCAAAACAAGCUGAACAUCAAAUAAAAGAAACCCCAACUGCAAAAGCAGAGAUCAAAGA